ensembl:misc_RNA Metazoa_SRP Metazoan signal recognition particle RNA
GCCAGGAGUGUUGGCUCACACCUGUCAUCCCAGCUGCUUGGGAGGCCGAGGCAGAGGGAUCACGUGAGCCCAGGAGUUCAAGGCUACAGUGAGCUAUGAUUGCGCCACUGCAGUCCAGCCUGGGCAACAGAGUGAGACCCUGUCUCUA